rnacentral:rRNA from 1 species
GACGAACGCUGGCGGCGUGCUUAACACAUGCAAGUCGAACGGAAAGGCCCUGCUUUUGUGGGGUGCUCGAGUGGCGAACGGGUGAGUAACACGUGAGUAACCUGCCCUUGUCUUUGGGAUAACUUCAGGAAAAUGGGGCUAAUACCGGAUAGGAGCUCCUGCUGCAUGGUGGGGGUUGGAAAGUUUCGGCGGUUGGGGAUGGACUCGCGGCUUAUCAGCUUGUUGGUGGGGUAGUGGCUUACCAGGGCUUUGACGGGUAGCCGGCCUGAGAGGGUGACCGGCCACAUUGGGACUGCGAUACGGCCCAGACUCCAACGGGCGGCAGCAGUGGAGAAUAUUGCGCAAUGGGCGGAAGCCUGAUGCAGCAGCGCCGCGUGCGGGAUGCCGGCCUUCGGGUUGUAAACCGCUUUCGCCUGUGACGAGGCGUGAGUGACGGUAAUGGGUAAAGAAGCACCGGCUAACUACGUG